rnacentral:ncRNA from 1 species
ACACGUUGGCUCCAAAAAGGGCGCAGUCCGAUCUCAAACAGGCAACGGGGUUUGAGG